UACGUAGGGUGCAAGCGUUGUCCGGAAUUUAUUGGGCGUAAAGAGCUCGUAGGCGGUUUGUCGCGUCUGCUGUGAAAACCCGAGGCUCAACCUCGGGCCUGCAGUGGGUACGGGCAGACUAGAGUGCGGUAGGGGAGAUUGGAAUCCUGGUGUAGCGGUGGAAUGCGCAGAUAGUCAGGAGGAACACCAAUGGCGAAGGCAGAUCUCUGGGCCGUAACUGACGC
rnacentral:rRNA from 1 species